UACGUAGGUGCGAGCGUUAAUCGGAAUUACUGGGCGUAAAGCGUGCGCAGGCGGUUCGGAAAGAAAGAUGUGAAAUCCCACGAGCUUAACUUUAGGUAACGUAGCAUUUUUAAACUUACCGGGCGUAGAGUGUGUCAGAGGGAGGUGGAAUUCCGCGUGUAGCAGUGAAAUAGCGUAGAUAUGCGGAGGAACACCGAUGGCGAAGGCAGCCUCCUGGGAUAACACUGACGCUCAUGCACG
rnacentral:rRNA from 1 species